rnacentral:piRNA from 1 species
AGGCUAGACUCCUCCCAGU